UCGGGAAUUUUGGGCAAUGGGGGAAACCCUGACCCAGCAACGCCGCGUGAAGGAUGAAGUAUUUCGGUAUGUAAACUUCGAAAGAAUAGGAAGAAUAAAUGACGGUACUAUUUAUAAGGUCCGGCUAACUACGUGCCAGCAGCCGCGGUAAUACGUAGGGACCAAGCGUUGUUCGGAUUUACUGGGCGUAAAGGGCGCGUAGGCGGCAUGACAAGUCACUUGUGAAAUCUCUGGGCUUAACCCAGAACGGCCAAGUGAUACUGUCGCGCUAGAGUGCAGAAGGGGCAAUCGGAAUUCUUGAUGUAGCGGUGAAAUGCGUAGAUAUCAAGAGGAACACCUGAGGUGAAGACGGGUUGCUGGGCUGACACUGACGCUGAGGCGCGAAAGCCAGGGGAGCAAACGGGAUUAGAUACCCACGUAGUCCCUGAGCGGGCUGGCAAGGCGCAU
rnacentral:rRNA from 1 species